GACGAACGCUGGCGGCGUGCUUAACACAUGCAAGUCGAACGGAAAGGCCCUGCUUUUGUGGGGUGCUCGAGUUGCGAACGGGUGAGUAACACGUGAGUAACCUGCCCUUGACUUUGGGAUAACUUCAGGAAACUGGGGCUAAUACCGGAUAGGAGCUCCUGCUGCAUGGUGGGGGUUGGAAAGUUUCGGCGGUUGGGGAUGGACUCGCGGCUUAUCAGCUUGUUGGUGGGGUAGUGGCUUACCAAGGCUUUGACGGGUAGCCGGCCUGGGAGGGUGACCGGACACAUUGGGACUGAGCUACGGCCCAGACUCCUACGGGAGGCAGGAGUGGGGAAUAUUGCACAAUGGGCGGAAGCCUGAUGCAGCCACGCCGCGUGCGGGAUGACGGCCUUCGGGUUGUAAACCGCUUUCGCCUGUGACGAAGCGUGAGUGACGGUAAUGGGUAAAGAAGCACCGGCUAACUACGUG
rnacentral:rRNA from 1 species